rnacentral:rRNA from 1 species
GUGUCAGCCGCCGCGGUAAGACGAAGGAUCCAAGCGUUAUCCGGAUUUAUUGGGUUUAAAGGGUGCGUAGGCGGAUUUAUAAGUCAGUGGUGAAAGCCUGUUGCUUAACAACAGAACUGCCAUUGAUACUGUUGAUCUUGAAUAUGUUUGAUGUGGGCGGAAUAUGACAUGUAGCGGUGAAAUGCUUAGAUAUGUCAUAGAACACCGAUUGCGAAGGCAGCUCACAAAGCCAUUAUUGACGCUGAGGCACGAAAGCGUGGGGAUCAAACAGGAUUAGAUACCCUGGUAGUCCACGCUGUAAACUUUGAUCACUCGCUGUUGGCGAUACACAGUCAGCGGCUAAGCGAAAGCGUUAAGUGAUCCACCUGGGGAGUACGGUCGCAAGAUUGAAACUUAAAUGAAUUGGCGGGG